rnacentral:rRNA from 1 species
GAGUUUGAUCCUGGCUCAGGAUGAACGCUAGCGGCAGGCUUAACACAUGCAAGUCGAGGGGUAUAGGCUUUCGGGCCUAGAGACCGGCGCACGGGUGCGUAACGCGUAUGCAACCUACCUUUCACAGAGGGAUAGCCCAGAGAAAUUUGGAUUAAUACCUCAUAGUAUAAUGGUGUGGCAUCACAUUAUUAUUAAAGUUCCAACGGUGAAAGAUGGGCAUGCGUCCCAUUAGCUAGAUGGUAAGGUAACGGCUUACCAUGGCUACGAUGGGUAGGGGUCCUGAGAGGGAGAUCCCCCACACUGGUACUGAGACACGGACCAGACUCCUACGGGAGGCAGCAGUGAGGAAUAUUGGACAAUGGGCGCAAGCCUGAUCCAGCCAUGCCGCGUGCAGGAUGAAGCAUCUAUGGUGUGUAAACUGCUUUUGUACGAGAAGAAACAGCUCUUCGUGAAGAGCCUUGACGGUAUCGUAAGAAUAAGGAUCGGCUAACUCCGUGCCAGCAGCCGCGGUAAUACGGAGGAUCCAAGCGUUAUCCGGAAUCAUUGGGUUUAAAGGGUCCGUAGGCGGCCUUAUAAGUCAGCGGUGAAAUCUCCCGGCUCAACCGGGAAAUGGCCAUUGAUACUGUAGGGCUUGAUUACU